rnacentral:rRNA from 1 species
GUGCCAGCCGCUGCGGUAAUACGUAGGUGGCAAGCGUUGUCCGGAUUUAUUGGGCGUAAAGCGAGCGCAGGCGGUUUCUUAAGUCUGAUGUGAAAGCCCCCGGCUCAACCGGGGAGGGUCAUUGGAAACUGGGAGACUUGAGUGCAGAAGAGGAGAGUGGAAUUCCAUGUGUAGCGGUGAAAUGCGUAGAUAUAUGGAGGACACCAGUGGCGAAGGCGGCUCUCUGGUCUGUAACUGACGCUGAGGCUCGAAAGCGUGGGGAGCGAACAGGAUUAGAUACCCUGGUAGUCCACGCCGUAAACGAUGAGUGCUAAGUGUUGGAGGUUUCCGCCUUCAGUGCUGCAGCAAACGCAUUAAGCACUCCGCCUGGGGAGUACGACCGCAAGGUUGAAACUCAAAGGAAUUGACGGGGCCCGCACAAGCGGUGGAGCAUGUGGUUUAAUUCGAAGCAACGCGAAGAACCUUACCAGGUCUUGACAUCCUUUGACCCACUCUAGAGAUAGAGCUUCCCCUUCGGGGGCAAAG